AUGAAAACAUGCAAUAUUUGUCUUUUUGUGCCUGGCUUAUUUCAAUUCACAUAAUAACCUCCAGUUCCAUCCAUGUUGCUGCAAAUGACAGCGUUUUAUUUUUUAUGGGCAAAUAGUAUUCAAAUUGUAUACACAUACACAUAUAUAUUCAUCUGUUGCUGGACAUAUAGGUUGAUUCCGUAUCUUGGCCACUGUGAAUAGUGCUGCACUAAACAUGUGAGUGCAGGUAUCCCUUUGAUAUACUGAUCUCCUUUCUUUUGGAUAAAUAUCCAGGAGUGGGAUUGCUGGAUCACAUGGUAGUUCUAUAUUUAGUAUUUUGAGAAUUCUCCAUACUGUUUUUCAUAAUGGCAUGCUAAUGUUCAUUCCCACCAAUGUUGUAUAAGAGUUCUCUUUUCUCCGCCACCUCACCAGCAUUUAUUUGUUGUCUUUUUGAAAUAGCCAUUCUAACUGGGAGGAGAUGAUAUCUCACUGUGGUUUUAACUUGUAAUUCCCUGAUGAUUAGCGAUGUUGAGCAUGUUUUCAUAUACUUGUGGGUCAUUUGUAUGUCUUCUUUUGCUAAAUGUCCAUUCAGAUCAUUUGCCCAUUUUAAUGUGGUUGUUUUUUGGCUGUUGAGUUGUUUGAAUCCUUGUAUCUUCUGGAUAUUAGUCCUUUGUCAGAUGAAUAGUUUGCCUUCAUUAUGUUGAGGUAUGUUCCCUCUAUACUUAAUUUGUUGAGAGUUUUUAUCAUGAAGGGAUGUUGAAUUUUAUCAAAUGCUUUUUCUGCAUCUAUUGAGAUGAUCAUAUAGUUUUUAUUCUUCAUUCUGUUGAUGUGAUAUAUCACAUUUAUUGAUGUGUAUAUGUUGAACCACCCUUGCAUCCCUGGAAUAAAUCCCACUUGAUCAUGGUGUAUUAUCUUUUUGAUGUGUUGUUGGAUUCAGUUUGCUAGUAUUUGUUGAAGAUUUUUGCGUCUAUGUUUAUCAGAGAUACUGGCCUGUAGUUUUCUCUUUCUUCUUUUGUCAUGUCCUUGUCUUAUUUUUGAUAUCAGGGUAAUUCUGGCUUCAUAGAAUGAGUUAGGAAGAAUUCCUUCCUCUUCCACUUUUUGGAAUAGUUUGAGAAGAAUUGAUGUUACCUGUUCUUUAUAAUUUUAGUAAAAUUCAGCAGUAAAACCAUUUGGUCCUCGGCUUUUCUUUGUUGGAAGAUGUUUCAUUACUGAUUCAAUCUCAUUACUCAUUAUUUGUCUGUUCAGGUUUUCUGUUUCUUCCUGGUUCAAUCUUAGUAGGAUAUAUAUAUUCAGGACUUUAUUUCCUCUAGGUUUUCCAAUUUAUUAGUGUAUAGUUGUUCAUAACAGUCUCUAAUGAUCCUUUGUAUUUCUGUGUGUUCAUUGUAAUGUCUCCUUUGUCAUUUCUGAUUUUAUUUGGGUCUUCUAUUUUUUUUGUUAGUAUAGCUAGUGGUUCAUCAAUUUUUCUUGUAUUUUUUAAAAACUAACUUUUUGUUUUGUUGAUCCUUUGUAUUGAUUCUUCAUCUUUAUUUUGUUUAGUUCUGUUCUGAUUUUAUUUCUUUCCUUUGGUUGAUUUUGGGUUUUAUUUGAUUUUGCUUUUCCAGUUCCUUGAGGUACAUCAUCAACUUAUUUAUUUGAAAUCUUUCUAUUUUUUAAUAUAGGCUUUUAUUGCUAUAAACUUCUCUCUUCACACUGCUUUUGCUGUAUCCCAUAGGUUUUGGUAUGUUGUGUUCCUGUUUUCAUUUGUUUUAAGAAAUUUUUGGAUUUUUAUCUUAAUUUCCUCAUUGACCCAGUGGUCAUUCAGGAGCAUGGUGUUUAAUUUACAUGAGUUUAUAUAGUUCCCAAAGUUCCUCUUGUUAUUGACUUCUAGUUUCAUUCCAAUGUUGUCUGAUAAGAUAUGUGAUUGAUUUUGACUUUUUAAAAUAUUUUGAGGCUUGUCUGUGGCGUAACAUAUGAUCUGUCCUGGAGAACGAUCCAUGUGCUGAUGAGAAGAAUAUAUAUUCUGCAUCUGUCAGGUAAAAUGUUCUGUAGAUGUGUGUUAGGUUCAUUUGGUCUAAAAUACAGUUUAAAUCUAUUUUUUUUGGUUGAUUUUCUGUCUAGAUUAUUUGUUCAAUCCUGAGAGUAGGGUGUUAAAUUCCCUAACUAUUAUCGUAUCGGAAUCUACCUCUCCCUUUAGAACUAAUAACAUUUACUUUAUAUAUCUGGGUGCUCCAGUGUUGGAUGCAUAUAUAUUAAGAACUGCUUUACCAUCUUGCUUAAAUUGAUCACUUUAUCAUUAUAUAAUGACCUUCUUUGUCUCUCUUUAUAGUUUUUGACUUAAAGUCUGAUUUAUCUAAGUAUAGCUAUUCCUGCUCACUUUUGGGUUUCAUUUGCAUAGAAUAUCUUUGUUCAUCUCUUCACUUUCAGUCUAUAUGUGUCUUCACAAGUGAAGUGAGUUUCUUGUAGGCAACAUAGAGUUGGGUCCUGUACUUUAAUCCAUUCAGCCAGUCUAUACAUGUAUAUCUAUAUUUUUUGAGACGGAGUUUCUAUCUUGUUACCCAGGCUGGAGUGCAGUGGCACGAUCUCAGCUCACAGCAACCUCCUCCUCCCAGAUUCAAGAGGUUCUCCUGCCUCAGUCUCCCAAGUAGCUGGGAUUACAGGUGUCUACCACCUUGCCGGGCUAAUUUUUUUUUUUUUUUUGUAUUUUUAGUAGAGACAGGGUUUUGCCAUGUUGGCCAAGCUAGUCUUGAACUCCUGGCUUCGGGUGAUCUCCCUGUCUCGGCCUCUCAAAGUACUGGAAUUACAGGCAUGAGCCACUGCACCUGGCACAGUCUAUAUUUUUUAAAUGGAAUAGUUUUUUUUUAAUGUACAGAGUCUCACUCUGUCACCCAGGCUAGAGUGCAGUGGCACAAUCUCAUCUCACUGCAACCUCUGACUCCCGGGUUCAAGUAAUUCUCAUGCCUCAGCCACCUGAGUAGCUUGGAUUAUAUGCAUAUGCCACAACGCCCAGCUAAUUUUUGUAAUUUAGUAGAGACAGGGUUUUGUCAUGUUGGCCAGGCUGGUCACAAACUCCUGGCCUCAAGUGAUCCGCCCACCUUGGCCUCCCAAAGUGCUGGGAUUACAGGCAUGAGCCACUGCACCCAGCCUUAAGUGGAGAAUUUAAUCCAUUUACUUUCAAAGCUAUUAUUGAUGGGUGAGUACUCAUGCCUGUUAUUUUGUUAACUGUUUUCUCAUUGUUUUGUAUAUCCUUUCUUCCUCCCUUACUGUUUAUCAUUGUCAUGUGGUGGUUUUUCAUAGUGGAAACAUUUGACUCCUUUCUCUUUCUCAUUUGCAUAUCUACUCUACCAGUGAGUUUUAUACUUUCUGUGUUUUCAUGAUGAUAGGUAUCUUCUAGAUGUUAGACUCCCUUAAGCAUUUCUUAUAGGACCAGUCCAGUGGCAAUUAGUUCUCUCUGUUUUUGCUCAUCUGACAAAGACUAUUUCCCUUCAUUUUUGAGGGAUAGCUUUGCAGGCUAUACUAUGCUUGACUGGCAGGUUUUUCUUUCAGCAUUUUGAAUGCAUCAUCACGUUCCCAGCUUGUGAGGUUUCUUCUGGGAACUCCACUGUUAGUCUGAUGAGUAUUCCCUUAUAUGUGACUUGACACUUUACUCUUGCUGUUUUUAACAUUCUCUCUCUCUCUCUUUCUCUCACUCUCUCUCUCUCUUUUUGAGACAGGGUCUAACACUGUCACUCAGGCUGAAGUGCAGUGGUAUAAUCAUGGCUCACUGCAGCCUCAACUUCCUGGGCUCAAGUGAUCCUCCUGCCUCAGCCUCCCAAGUAGCUGGGACUACAGGUGCAUGCCACCACACCCAACUGAUUUUUUUAUUUUUGUAGAGAUGGAACUUGCUCUGUUGCCCAGGCUGGUCUUGAACUCCUGGACUCAAGUUAACCUCCCACCUCAGCCUCCCAAAGUGUUGGGAUUACAGGCAUGAGCCACCAUGCCCAGCCUCUCUUUGCCAUUGACAUUUGACAGUUUGACCAUAAUGUGCCUUGAAGAAGACCUUUUUGUUGUGUAUUUGAGAAUCUUAGAGCUUCCUGUAUCUGGAUGUCCAUAUCUCUUGUAAGAGUUGGGACAUUUUCAGCUCUUAUAUCAUUAAAAAGGUUUUCUACACUUUUGCCCAUCUCUUCUUCAGGAACUCCAAAAAGUUGAAUAUUUGGCAACUUACGGUGUUUCAUAUAUCAUAUAGCCUUUCUUCUUAUUUUUUACUGUUUUUCUUUUCUUUUCUUUUUUGAGACAGGGUCUUGCUCUAUCACCCAGGCUAGAAUGCAGUGGUGCAAUCUGGGCUCACUGCAACCUUCAUCUCCCAGGUGCAAGUGAUCCUCCCACCUCAGCCUCCCAAGUAGCUGGGACUACAGGCAUGCACCACCACACCUGGCUAAUUUUUUGUAAUUUUUGUAGAAAUGAGGUUUCGCCGUGUUGCCCAGGCUGGUCUCACACUCCUGGGCUCAAGCAAUCUACCCACGUGGCCUCCCAAAGUGUUGAGAUUACAGACAUGAGCCACCACACCCAGCACUCUUUUAUUUUUUGUUUGACAAGGCUAUUUCAAAAGCCGUGUUUUCAAGUUCCAAAAUUAUUUCUUCUGCUUGAUCUAGUCUAUUGUUGAAGCUCUUGAUUGUUUUUAUUUUAUUUUAUUCUUCAAACCUGGAACAGAAUUCUUCAGUUCCAGGAUUCCCAUUUGGCAUUUUUUAAUGAUGGCUCUGUUUUUUUUUUUUUUAACUUUUUUCAUUUAUAUCAUGAAUUGUUUCCCUGAUUUCCUUUUUUCUUUUUUUUCUUUGAGAUGGAGUCUGGCUCUGUCACCCAGGCUGGAGAGCAGUGGCAUGAUCUUGGUUCACUGCAACCUCUGCCUCCCCGGUUCAAGUGAUUCUCCUGCCUCAGCCUCCCGAGUAGCUGGGAUCACAGGCAUACGCCACCACACCCAGCUAAUUUUUGUGUUUUUAGUAGAGAUGAGGUUUCGCCACAUUCGCCAGGCUGGUCUCGAACUCUUGACCUCCAGUGAUCCACCCGCCUCAGCCUCCCAAAGUACUGGGAUUACAGGCUUGAGCCACUCCCCCGGCCCCUGAUUUCUCUGUAUUGUUUAUCUUUGCUGUCUUGUAUCUCACUGAGUUUUUAAACUUAUUUUGAAUUUUUUUGAGCAUUUCAUCAUUUCUUUAGGAUCUGUUCCUGGAGAAAUAUUGUGUUCCUUUGGAGGCGUCACGUUUCCUUUGUGUGUGUGUGUUUCUUGUGUCCUUGUGUUGAUAUCUGCGCAUCUGGUGUAACAGUCAUUUCUUCUAAUUUUAUGGAUUGGCUUUUGUAGGGAAAGACAUUUUCCUGUAGAUACACCGAUAAUGUUGGUUGGUAUUGUAGUCUGUUCUCACAUUGCCAUAAAGAACUGCCUGAGACUGGGUAAUUUAUAAAGAGGCUUAAUCGGCUCACGUUCCCACAGGCUGUCCAGGAAGCACGGCUGGCUAGGCCUCGGGAGACCUUCCAUCAUGGUGGAAGGUGAAGGGGAAGCCGGCACAUCCUUUGAGGCUGGAGCGGGAGGAAGAGGGUGAAGGGGGAGGUGCCACACACUUUUAAACAACCAGAUCUUGUGAGAACUCAGUCACUAUCACGAGAACAGCAAGGGGGAAAUCCGCCCCCUUGAUCCAAUCACCUCUGUCCAGACCCCUCCUACAAUUUAACAUGAGAUGUGGCUGGGGACACAAAUCCAAACCAUUCCAUUCUGCCCCAGCCCCUCCCAAAUCUCAUAUCCUUCUCACACUGCAAAAUACAAUCAUCCCUUCUCAACAGUCCCUCACGUCUUAACUCAUUUCGGCAUUAACUCAAAAGUCCACAGUCCAAAGUCUCAUCUGAGACAAGGCCAGUCCCUUCCACCUAUGAGCCUGUAAAAUCAAAAACAAAUUAGUUACUUCCAAGAUACAAUGGGGGUACAAACAUUGACUAAAUACUACCAAUCCAAAAAGGCAAACUGGCCAAAACAAAGGGGCUACAGGCCCCAUGCAAGUUUGAAACCCAGCAGGGCAGUCAUUAAAUCUUAAAGCUCCAAAAUAAUCUCCUUCAACCCUGUGUCUCGUAUCCAGGCCACAUUGGCUCAAGGGGUGGGCUCUGCCCUGUGGCUCUGCAGGAUGCAGCCCCCACAGCUGUGGUGGCAAUGGGGAGCCAGGUGGGCAGCAUGUAGCAGUUGGGUGCUUUUCCAUCCAUCCCAAUCACGGAAAAUUCCCGAUUCCUG
rnacentral:lncRNA from 1 species